GGAAACUUGUGGAUAGGGCAUCUAUGUAUUUAUUAUGGCGUGCCGUGCACACUCUAAAAAUAGCUCUUUGAACGUUCUUAUGAGCAGCUAUAGCUGGUGCAACACAGACGGCGAUGAAACCACAGCAACAACAGACGGUCCCUUCGGAGAUCUGUAGACGCCUGCGCAUAGAGAUCAAUUAUUUUGCUCACGGCAAAGAAAAGCUCGUAUUUGAAGAAAAUUAGUAAGUUUGUAGCUGCUUGUCUACGUUACUACGAUUGAAAAGAUUGGUUAUUUAUGUAGUAACGACGUUAAACUCUCGAGUAAUUGAUCCGCCAAAUUUAUAUAUCCGCCAAAGUGAUGGUGACAGAUUCCUGAGGCCCUCAUCAUGGGUCCUUUGUCAUCGUUUUUAAACAUUUCGAUUAUGAUCAGUUGAUUAUCUGAGAACCGUGUUUUGGUCAUCGUCCUUACCAGAUAUGCAAAGGAGACUAGUGACUUUCAUGUUCAUUCUUUCUUUUACUGUCUAUGUGUAGACUCCAUCCACCAUUUUAUCUUUUUCUUAUGACAAGACGACAUCUUCUCGCUGCCUGGCUGGCAGACCGAAAGUAGCGCGAGUCUUCAAUAUCCGACUGAAACUCCAGUAAUGUAGUCUUUACAUCAAAAGACACAACUA